rnacentral:misc_RNA from 1 species
CUAAGGUGGGACAGAUGAUUGGGGUGAAGUCGUAACAAGGUAGCCGUAUCGGAAGGUGCGGCUGGAUCACCUCCUUUCUAAGGAAAAACGGAAUGUACUUGAGUUUCUUAUUUAGUUUUGAGAGGUCUUGUGGGGCCUUAGCUCAGCUGGGAGAGCGCCUGCUUUGCACGCAGGAGGUCAGCGGUUCGAUCCCGCUAGGCUCCAUUGAAUCGAAAGAUUCAAGUAUUGUCCAUUGAAAAUUGAAUAUCUAUAUCAAAUUCCAUAUGUAAGUAAUUACAUAUAGAUAGUAACAAGAAAAUAAACCGAAACGCUGUGAAUAUUUAAUGAGUUAGGUCGAAAGGCCAAAAAUAAGGUUAAGUUAAUAA